rnacentral:rRNA from 1 species
GUACUAGCCUGCCGAUUCCUCCUUCUUGUAGAACCGUAAUGCCAUUAAUUUGGUGUUGCGGGGAAACAGGACUGUUACUUUGAAAAAAUUAGAGUGUUUAAAGCAGGCUAGCGCCUGAAUACAUUAGCAUGGAAUAAUGAAAUAGGACGUUCGAACCUAUUUUGUUGGUUUCUAGGAUUGACGUAAUGAUUAAUAGGGAUAGUUGGGGGCAUUAGUAUUCAAUUGUCAGAGGUGAAAUUCUUGGAUUUAUUGAAGACUGACUACUGCGAAAGCAUUUGCCAAGGAUGUUUUCAUUAAUCAAGAACGAAAGUUAGGGGAUCGAAAACGAUCAGAUACCGUCGUAGUCUUAACCAUAAACUAUGCCGACUAGGGAUCGGAUGAUGUUAAUUUUUUAAUGACUC